GUCUCCCAGCACUGCCCCUGCAGACUGGAACCACCCACCUGCUCUUUCUGUUUUCUACCUAGCACACUGCCUUUUAUUGAACACAAGGGGGGUUCAGAAGUUCUGUCUAUGCUAAAGACUAAUAGAUAUGCCAGAAUACAGAGAAGAGAAUUGAACUUUAACUAAAUUAAAUAAACAUCUCAAGGACACACAACUCAUAAAGGACACUGCAAUUUCAAAUCUAGCAUAUAGCUAAUAGAAUCUUUAGCUGAACAAUAAUCAGAAGAAGCAAAUGAAAAAGAAAGGCUGUUAAAGAUUGAGGAAAACUGGAUAGCCACUACAGGUGAAAUAAGGGAUGGCAAAAAUCCUAGUUGCCUGACAUCUUUUACUUCCUCUUGGAAAAUGCAAAUGCCCCUGAAGGGUCAGAAGAUGGUCGUUGAUAGCUUAGUAGGAAUUAGCUUAUUCAGUUUUCUUCCUAUCUUCUGGGCAAAUUCCUGAAUUAGAAGAAUCUGAAAGAUCACCUAAUUCAAUCUCUUGCAAUCAGACUAAGUCAUUGAGGGCGGGAGACGGGGAUGGUUUGAUCAGGAAUCCACAGCUAGUUUUAUAAUCAGCUUUGGAACUCAAAAAAGGAGGACCCUCAAUACAGUGCUCUUCCUUUCAAUAUCAUGCUGUUCCAGAUAUUAAAAUGUAGAAAUGCCAUUAUAGGCACAGCAUAUCGUAUAGUUGAGCAGCAUGUGGAGACAAAUAGACUUGGCUUCUCUUCUCACUAGCUUUGGGAACCUAGGAAUAUUUCUUGUCUUCUCAAAGCCUCAAU
ensembl:lncRNA